rnacentral:rRNA from 1 species
GUUUCGACACACUAUCAUUAACUGAAUCCAUAGGUUAAUGAGGCGAACCGGGGGAACUGAAACAUCUAAGUACCCCGAGGAAAAGAAAUCAACCGAGAUUCCCCCAGUAGCGGCGAGCGAACGGGGAGGAGCCCAGAGCCUGAAUCAGCAUGUGUGUUAGUGGAAGCGUCUGGAAAGGCGCGCGAUACAGGGUGACAGCCCCGUACACAAAAGCGCAUGUGCUGUGAGCUCGAUGAGUAGGGCGGGACACGUGGUAUCCUGUCUGAAUAUGGGGGGACCAUCCUCCAAGGCUAAAUACUCCUGACUGACCGAUAGUGAACCAGUACCGUGAGGGAAAGGCGAAAAGAACCCCGGCGAGGGGAGUGAAAAAGAACCUGAAACCGU